GGAUGCGAUCAUACCAGCACUAAAGCACCGGAUCCCAUCAGAACUCCGAAGUUAAGAGUGCUUGGGCGAUAGUUGUACUAGGAUGGGUGACCUCCUGGGAAGUCCUCGUGUUGCAUUCA
rnacentral:rRNA from 2 species